GUGGCGGGGCGCAGCCUACCAUGCAGUCGAGCGGUAACAGAUCCAGCUUGCUGGAUGCUGACGAGCGGCGGACGGGUGAGUAAUGCAUAGGAAUCUGCCCGAUAGUGGGGGAUAACCUGGGGAAACCCAGGCUAAUACCGCAUACGUCCUACGGGAGAAAGGGGGCUUCGGCUCCCGCUAUCGGAUGAGCCUAUGUCGGAUUAGCUAGUUGGUGAGGUAACGGCUCACCAAGGCCACGAUCCGUAGCUGGUCUGAGAGGAUGAUCAGCCACAUCGGGACUGAGACACGGCCCGAACUCCUACGGGAGGCAGCAGUGGGGAAUAUUGGACAAUGGGGGGAACCCUGAUCCAGCCAUGCCGCGUGUGUGAAGAAGGCCCUCGGGUUGUAAAGCACUUUCAGCGAGGAAGAACGCCUAGCGGUUAAUACCCGCUAGGAAAGACAUCACUCGCAGAAGAAGCACCGGCUAACUCCGUGCCAGCAGCCGCGGUAAUACGGAGGGUGCAAGCGUUAAUCGGAAUUACUGGGCGUAAAGCGCGCGUAGGUGGCUUGAUAAGCCGGUUGUGAAAGCCCCGGGCUCAACCUGGGAACGGCAUCCGGAACUGUCAAGCUAGAGUGCAGGAGAGGAAGGUAGAAUUCCCGGUGUAGCGGUGAAAUGCGUAGAGAUCGGGAGGAAUACCAGUGGCGAAGGCGGCCUUCUGGACUGACACUGACACUGAGGUGCGAAAGCGUGGGUAGCAAACAGGAUUAGAUAUCCUGGGUAGUCA
rnacentral:rRNA from 1 species